rnacentral:rRNA from 1 species
UUAAUUGAAGAGUUUGAUCAUGGCUCAGAUUGAACGCUGGCGGCAGGCCUAACACAUGCAAGUCGAGCGGCAGCACAGAGGAACUUGUUCCUUGGGUGGCGAGCGGCGGACGGGUGAGUAAUGCCUGGGAAAUUGCCCGGUAGAGGGGGGAUAACCAUUGGAAACGAUGGCUAAUACCGCAUAACCUCGCAAGAGCAAA